rnacentral:rRNA from 1 species
AUGUCCGGAGUGGGAGGCAAGUGGAUGGUCUCCUCCGUCACGGAGGGCCAUGUCAAAAGGCUAAGGAAGGCCGGAUACCUGUCCAAAGACAUCGCACACCGGCUUCCUGAGGAGGGGCAGCUUCUCCCCACCCCAAGGCCCCAUGAGAGGGUAGUAUUUCUUCCCCACUUCCUCCGUGGACUGGGUUUUCCUCUCCACCCAUUUGUCCGCGGGCUCAUGUUCUACUAUGGCCUAGAUUUCCACGAUCUGGCCCCGAACUUCAUCCUCAAUAUCUCAACGUUUAUCGUCGUAUGCGAGGCUUUCCUCUGCAUCCGCCCCCAUUUCAGCCUCUGGCUCAAGACCUUUAAUGUCAAGCCAAAGGUGGUGCACGGCAACCAGGCGGAGUGCGGAGGUGCCAUGGCGGGCAAAAUAGCCAACGUCCUAUGGCUCGAGGGCUCCUUUGUGGAGACCUUGAAGGGGUGGCAGUCAGGGUGGUUUUACAUCACCGAGCCACACGAUCCAAAGUGGAUCGCAGCCCCUGAAUUCCGAUCUAAACCCCCUACGCGGCUCACGUCCUGGAAGGAGAUGGGCUUGUCGUGGGGCGAUGAAGAAGAGGUGACCGGACUGCAAAAAUGCAUCCAGUCCCUGGUGAACAAGCAGCUCAAGCUUGUCAACGUAGUCCAGGUCAUGCUCGUCCGCCGGAUCCUUCCGUGUCAAGAACGGGACUUCAAUUUGUGGGAGUUCAACCCGGCGCAGCACCAAACUCUGAGCAGGCUCUUCGACACGACGUACAAAGAUGUCUGGAAGGGGCUAACCAAAGGUGUCUAG